UACGGAGGAUGCGAGCGUUAUCCGGAUUUACUGGGUUUAAAGGGUGCGUAGGCGGCUUUUUAAGUCAGCGGUGAAAUUUUGCAGCUUAACUGUAACAGUGCCGUUGAUACUGGGGAGCUAGGAUUUGGUUGCUGUGGGUGGAAUGUGUGGUGUAGCGGUGAAAUGCUUAGAGAUCACACAGAAUAUCGAUUGCGAAGGCAGCUCACAAAGCCAAGAUUGACGCUGAGGCACGAAAGUGUGGGGAUCAAACAGGAUUA
rnacentral:rRNA from 1 species